AAAGGAAGACAGAUGCAAUACCCAGACUUUGAACUAUCUGUAUCCUUAAAAUGUGGAAUCAACAGAAUUGUUUCUGAAGGCUCUGCCUCUGGACAUCAGAAGAGUCAGAUGACAUGUCACCGGAAAAAGUGUGUACAGCAUGAAGGCACAUGGAAGAAAAUUCCCACUGUUGAAAUGAUCCAGGAGGAAUGACUUCACAGGCUGUAAAAUAUUGCUCCUGCCCUGGCAAAAAUUUUUAAUAAAGCUGGAUAUUUUUAGCACUAAAGUCAAAUUUGUCUUUAGCAUCCUCCCCAUCUUAGAAACAGGCUUGAAUAAACGAUUCCUGUCACACAAGAAAA